AAAAAAGAAAUACAACCAAACGAGUUCCUAAAUCAUCCUCUCUUCCUAGCUAGGAUGCCAUGAUCACACUUUAUCUUUACCUACACUAUAAAGAAAGAAAUGCGUAAGUAUUAUCAUAAAUACCUAGUGAGUCGAUACUCCCAUCUACGGCUAUACACACAAGCAAUAAACGGUAUAACUACAAAAUAAAAUAUAUAAAAAACCCAGUCAUUGAACAGUUCACCCAAAAACACAUUCACCAUACCUACAUAUCAUCACACAAAACAAGUCAUAUAACCCAAUCGCAUAGAUAAGCUCAUGGUCACGCACUCACCUUAACAAGCUGAUUAUAACAACAAUUAUAA
rnacentral:sRNA from 1 species